CUGGCCUUUCGGGGGCAUGUGCACGCCCGAGCCCUUAAUCCACUUUACACCUGUGCACUUAAUGUAGGUCACCCUUGAAAAGGUGACCUAUGUCUUAUCAUCAACCCAUAGUAUGUCCAAUAGAAUGUAAAUCGAUAUCCUCGCCCUAAAAAAGCGUUGAUAAACUUAUACAACUUUCAACAACGGAUCUCUUGGCUCUCGCAUCGAUGAAGAACGCAGCGAAAUGCGAUAAGUAAUGUGAAUUGCAGAUUUUCAGUGAAUCAUCGAAUCUUUGAACGCACCUUGCGCUCCUUGGUAUUCCGAGGAGCAUGCCUGUUUGAGUAUCAUUAAAUUCUCAACUCCAAGGGUUUCAUAACCUUUCGGAGAUUGGACUUGGAGGUGCCGGCCACAUACGGUCGGCUCCUCUCAAUGCAUCAGCGGAAUUCAACCUUUGGGCUUCCAACGUCAGUGUGAUAUCAUGUUGUGCUGUCG
rnacentral:rRNA from 1 species